rnacentral:rRNA from 1 species
AUUGAACGCUGGCGGCAGGCUUAACACAUGCAAGUCGAGCGGAGUGAUGGUGCUUGCACUAUCACUUAGCGGCGGACGGGUGAGUAAUGCUUAGGAAUCUGCCUAUUAGUGGGGGACAACAUCUCGAAAGGGAUGCUAAUACCGCAUACGUCCUACGGGAGAAAGCAGGGGAUCACUUGUGACCUUGCGCUAAUAGAUGAGCCUAAGUCGGAUUAGCUAGUUGGUGGGGUAAAGGCCUACCAAGGCGACGAUCUGUAGCGGGUCUGAGAGGAUGAUCCGCCACACUGGGACGGAGACACGGCCAGACUCCUACGGGAGGCAGCAGUGGGGAAUAUUGGACAAUGGGGGGAACCCUGAUCCAGCCAUGCCGCGUGUGUGAAGAAGGCCCUAUGGUUGUAAAGCACUUUAAGCGAGGAGGAGGCUUACCUAGUUAAUACCUGGGAUAAGUGGACGUUACUCGCAGAAUAAGCACCGGCUAACUCUGUGCCAGCAGCCGCAGUAAAAC